rnacentral:rRNA from 1 species
UGGGGAAUAUUGGACAAUGGGCGAAAGCCUGAUCCAGCCAUGCCGCGUGUGUGAAGAAGGUCUUCGGAUUGUAAAGCACUUUAAGUUGGGAGGAAGGGCAGUUACCUAAUACGUGAUUGUUUUGACGUUACCGACAGAAUAAGCACCGGCUAACUCUGUGCCAGCAGCCGCGGUAAUACAGAGGGUGCAAGCGUUAAUCGGAAUUACUGGGCGUAAAGCGCGCGUAGGUGGUUAGUUAAGUUGGAUGUGAAAUCCCCGGGCUCAACCUGGGAGCUGCAUUCAAAACUGACUGACUAGAGUAUGGUAGAGGGUGGUGGAAUUUCCUGUGUAGCGGUGAAAUGCGUAGAUAUAGGAAGGAACACCAGUGGCGAAGGCGACCACCUGGACUGAUACUGACACUGAGGUGCGAAAGCGUGGGGAGCAAACAGGAUUAGAUACCCAAGUAGUCCCUGAGCGGGCUGGCAAGGCGCAU